rnacentral:rRNA from 1 species
GCCUGAUGCUGUGACGCCGCGUGGAUGAUGAAGCGUCUUCGGAUCGUAAAAUCCUGUUAAGUGGGAAAAAAGAGUGAGUGUUAAUAGCACUCAAAGAUGAUGGUAUCACUAGAGAAAGCACCGGCAAACUUCGUGCCAGCAGCCGCGGUAAUACGAAGGGUGCAAGCGUUAUUCGGAAUUACUGGGCGUAAAGGGCGUGUAGGCGGCACAUUAAGUCACCUGUUAAAGACCACUGCAUAACGGUGGAGAGGCGGGUGAAACUGGUGUGCUAGAGGAUAGGAGAGAGAAGUGGAAUUCUCGGAGUAGCGGUUAAAUGCGUAGAUCUCGAGAGGAACACCAAUGGCGAAGGCAGCUUCUUGGCCUAUAUCUGACGCUGAGACGCGAAAGCGUGGGGAGCAAACAGGAUUAGAUACCCUGGUAGUCCACGCUGUAAACGAUGAUCACUGGAUGUUGGAUCCCCUAGGGAUUCAGUAUCGAAGCUAACGCGUUAAGUGAUCCGCCUGGGGAGUACGGUCGCAAGAUUAAAACCUCAACGACUCUGACGGGGGUCCGCACAAGCGGUUGGAACAUGUGGUUUACUUCGUCACUACGCGAGGAACCU